CGGAAGAAAUGGAAUGAUGUGGGAUUAAUCCAAAGGAAUCAAGCCGGAAGAGGAUGGGUUGUGUCAUGGGUGUUUGAUACAGGGAAUGUGAUCCUAUUCAGUUGGUUGGAACGUGUGGGAAGGGAAUUAAGUGACUGAGAUGUGACGCAGGGAAAUUUUGUUGAGCCAAAUGCGGGAAAGAAACAAGGGAGUUGGGAUGAAUCUGAAAGGGUCUUGAUUUGCGGGGCUGCAUGCGAUUUGGGUUCAGAAUGAAUUUGACUUGACCUGCAUACAUUAGAUUCAACCAAUAAAAAUAAAAAAAAUCAAACUUGAAUUAUUUUUA
rnacentral:lncRNA from 1 species